CCACCAGAUGCCCUGAUGUGCUCUUGCAGCAAGUAACAACCAAUGAUGAGGCAUAUCAAGACACCAACCCAGCUGUUCUUCAACGUGUGUGCAAAGAAGCUGGGAGCCACAACCAGAAGAAGAAUCAAUGAUCCUGGCAUCUCCAGCCAAUCUGGGAAGUGUCGAGGAAAGAAAAGCCUAAGCACCACUGCAAUGAAAGCAAUCCAUUUUCC
rnacentral:misc_RNA from 1 species